rnacentral:rRNA from 1 species
GGUGAGUAACGCGUUGGUGAUCUGCCCCGAAGUGAGGAAUAACAGCUCGAAAGGGCUGCUAAUACCACAUGUGGUCAUUGGGUUUAGAAACUGAUGACUAAAGCAGUAAUGCGCUUCGGGAGGAACCUGCGUCCCAUCAGCUAGUUGGUAGGGUAACGGCCUACCAAGGCUACGACGGGUAGGGGGCCUGAGAGGGUGGCCCCCCACACUGGCACUGAAACACGGGCCAGACACCUACGGGUGGCAGCAGUAGGGAAUAUUGCACAAUGGGCGAAAGCCUGAUGCAGCAACGCCGCGUGCACGAUGAAGGCCUCCGGGUCGUAAAGUGCUUUUUGAGGAGAUGAGGAAGGACAGUAUCCUCAGAAUAAGGAUCGGCUAACUACGUGCCAGCAGCCGCGGUAACACGUAGGAUCCGAGCGUUAUCCGAAUUUACUGGGCGUAAAGCGCGUGCAGGCGGUCUAGUAAGUUGGAUGUGAAAUCUCCCGGCUCAACUGGGAGAGGCCGUUCAAAACUACUAGACUUGAGGGCGGUAGAGGGAGGUGGAAUUCCCGGUGUAGUGGUGAAAUGCGUAGAUAUCGGGAGGAACACCUGUGGCGAAAGCGGCCUCCUGGACCGUUCCUGACGCUCAGACGCGAAAGCUAGGGGAGCGAACGGGAUUAGGAACCCCGGUAGUCCUAGCUGUAAACGAUGCAGACUUGGCGUCGGUGGGGUAAAAGCCAUCGGUGCCGAAGCUAACGCGUUAAGUCUGCCGCCUGGGGACUACGGCCGCAAGGUUAAAACUCAAAGGAAUUGACGGGUCCCCGCACAAGCAGCGGAGCGUGUGGUUUAAUUCGUUCUACGCGAAAAACCUUACCCGGGUUUGACAUACAGGUGGUAGGAAGCAGAGAUGCAACCGACCCUUCGGGGAGCCUGUACAGGUGCUGCAUGGCUGUCGUCAGCUCGUGUCGUGAGAUGUCCGGUUAAGUCCGGCAACGAGCGCAACCCCUACUACGUGUUACAUGUGUCACGUGGGACUGCCGGUAUCAAGCCGGAGGAAGGUGGGGAUGACGUCAAGUCAGCAUGGCCUUUAUAUCCGGGGCUACACACACGCUACAAUGGCCGGUACAAUGGGUUGCAAAGCCGCGAGGUAGAGCCAAUCCCCAAAGCCGGUCUCAGUUCAGAUUGCAGGCUGCAACUCGCCUGCAUGAAGUCGGAGUUGCUAGUAACCGCGCGUCAGCAUUAGUGCGGUGAAUACGUUCCCGGGGAUUGUACACACCGCCCGUCACGUCAUGGGAGCUGGUAACACCUGAAGCCGGUAUCCUAACCCGUAAGGGAGGGAACUGUCGAAGGUGGGACAGGUGACUGGGACGAAGUCGUAACAAGGUA